AUUGAACGCUGGCGGCAGGCUUAACACAUGCAAGUCGCGCGGGGUGAUGGUGCUUGCACUAUCACUUAGCGGCGGACGGGUGAGUAAUGCUUAGGAAUCUGCCUAUUAGUGGGGGACAACAUCUCGAAAGGGAUGCUAAUACCGCAUACGUCCUACGGGAGAAAGCAGGGGAUCACUUGUGACCUUGCGCUAAUAGAUGAGCCUAAGUCGGAUUAGCUAGUUGGUGGGGUAAAGGCCUACCAAGGCGACGGUCUGUAGCGGGUCUGAGAGGAUGAUCCGCCACACUGGGACUGGGACACGGCCCAGACUCCUACGGGAGGCAGCAGUGGGGAAUAUUGGACAAUGGGGGGAACCCUGAUCCAGCCAUGCCGCGUGUGUGAAGAAGGCCUUAUGGUUGUAAAGCACUUUAAGCGAGGAGGAGGCUCUUUUGGUUAAUACCCAAGAUGAGUGGACGUUACUCGCAGAAUAAGCACCGGCUAGCUCUGUGCCAGCAGCCGCCGCAG
rnacentral:rRNA from 1 species